ACUCUUGAAAAGAUGUAUGACAUCAUGAAAACUUCCACUGAUUAAGUCGGAUAGAAUGGUGAAAUCAUGUUAGAUACAACCUUCAAAUAAGAAGUCUCACCAUCGUUUUUUUUGCUUUAACCUUCUCCUUCUUCCUCAACAGCAUCUCAAGUUCGCCCCGACUCCUCUUAUCUCUCUCUCUCUCUCUCUAUAAUGUAUUAAUCCAACCUCAGUGCGCUAUUCCCCCUCCUGUUUCUUCAGCUUCUAACUUGCUUUUCUAUCCUCUUAAGCAACCUAGAGUACCCAUGCUAUCGGGUGAGGUUUUAAUCUUGGGCCUUCGAGAUCCAAGUAAAACACUCAUAAGAGUUGAGUUGAAAUCCUAGAAGGCUUUGAUUCAUAAUUGAGGUUUCUAACUUACCCAUCCCAGAUAUGAUGCAAAAGCUUACGUCUGUAGCAUUAUUUUUAUAUAAUGUUAUAUCUCUUUAAAGUCCCCACCCUGGAUGUAAAGGAGACGCAAACUCUUGGCAUACCUGGAGUUCCAGCCGAUCAAUUAUCUGUGGCUUGAACAGAGUAUCUCUUACUGGAACCAUUAAUGAUAUCAAGAGGGACCCACGAUCGGGCAUGUGUGAGCAGUCGAGCCAUAAAACAGGGCAAACCAUCUUUCGGAAUGAGCAGAUAUUGAUAUUCUCUUACUGAAUACAGGUCCUGAAGGGUGGAGAUUGAGUGCUAACAACAUUUUAAGAUUGUGACAUCCUGUUUGAACCUGCCGAAAGUUCUUUUAUCAGGCUCUGCAGCUGAAAUAUGGUCUGCAUUUAUGUAAUUCUCACUCCAGUUCUACUAAAUUCUUCUGUAUGCAUGUAUUUUCAAUUAGAGUCACCAAGAUGGAAAUGUGGAACUCACCCUGGCAGGAUAAUAUUAUUUCUUCAUUGUUAAAAGGGGCUGUUUUUCAUUUUAUACAGUAGAACAAGAUAGGAUUCUUUUUUGUGAAGAUAGGAUUUUGUUCUAUGAAGAUAGGAUUCUUCAAGAAGGACCUCCAUAUGGUAUUUAAUUUGGAAAGUACUAAAGAAGAGAAGUGUUCCAAUUAAAUAUUUGGACAUAAUUAUAGAUAUAUAUGAUGCUUUGGUGACUGGUGAAAGAACUUGGAGGUUAAGGUAGUGAAUUCCCAAUUAUCAAUUGGGUUACAUCAAAGAUCAGAACCCCUUUUAUGUAUGCACUUAAUUUAUCUAUGAUGAUUUGACCAAAGACAUUACUUGGUGUAUGCUUUUUUCUGAUGAUAUUAUUUUGAGAGAUGAGACAAAAGCAUGGAUUAAUGCGAAGUUGGAGCUAUGGAAAUCAACCUUGUAAUCAAAAGGUUUUAAGAUAAGUAGAAUGAAGAUGAAGUUAGGGUUUCUCUCACUUACAUUUAGAUAUUCUAUGCGGUCACUUACGACAAGGUUAGCUAUGUUGGAUAACUCUACUAUUGUCACCACCGAUCCUAAGGAUAAGAAAUAGCAUUACUUCGGCAAAUCUAGUGACAGGUUUCUCUACUGUGAGUGUUUGAAAGUUUGAGAUAUCUCAGAUUCAAUGGAGAAGAGGCCGUUUUACCUAUAUAGUAAGCCUCGAAUUUCCUAAAAUUUCAAAGCAUAACUGGAAGAUCUGGAAGGCUUGAGAUCUGUUAUCGGUUACAAAAUUAAAGCCAACAGUAACCUAAAAGUUCUUGACUAUAAUUUUAUCAAAAAAGAAUGGAUAAGUAAUUUGGUAAAAUAAAACCCCAUUUUAAAUAAUUUUGCAAUUUUCCCAAUAAAAAAUCUCAUUCAUGUUGAUGUUAUGUGCUCUCAUUGGUCCCCGUGUUGGUGUAGGGGCCAUGCAACCAGGCAUCAAUCUCUUUUCUAUAAAAAUAUGACCGUUAGAGAGCUAGGAAUUUGGAAGAGUUUAGGAUUUUGUGGGGUAUCAUGGUUAAGCAACCUCUUUAACAAAAUUACGAGUACAAGGAGAAUGCCAGACAAGUAGAGGAGGAGCACUAUUGUUGUCUCCAUCUACAAAAACAAAGGGAUAUUCAUGAUUGUAAUAACUGUAGAGGCAUAAAACUUAUUAGCCAUACUAUGAAGCUUUGGGAGAAGAUUAUUGAAGCCUGCUUGAGAAGAGAAUAUGAUAUUUCAGUUAACCAAUUUUAUGCCUGGGAAAUCUACUAUGGAAGCUAUUUAUCUCCUCAGGAUACUUAUGGGAACCUAUUGAACUACCAUAAAGGACCUACAUAUGGUAUUUAUUGACCUGGAAAAGGCCUAUGAUAGUGUUCCUAGAGAGCUAAUAUGGCAUGGUCUAGAGAAGAGAAGGGUGUUGAGCAGAUAUGCAGAUAUAUUUAAAAAUAUAUACGAUGAUAAGGUGACUAGUGUGAGAACCAAGGGUUGUCAAGGGAGUGAGUUCCUAAUUACUUUGGGCUUCAUCAAGGAUCAACUUUAAGCCCUUAUUUGUUUGUGCUUGUAAUGGAUGAGUUGACAAAGAACAUUCAAGGUGAGGUUCCUUGGUAUGCUAUUUGCUGAUGAUGUUGUACAAGUUGAUGACAUAGAAAUAGGGCUUAACUCGUGCAAGAGAUCAACCUUGGAAUCAAGAGGUUAUAAGAUAAGUAGAAGUGUAGAACAAAGCCUAAGUGUGUGAUCUGUACAUUUAGACACAUUACAAUGGAUAACGACAUGGCGACUAUUGAGAAGAGAGAGAUACCGCCAAGGGACUUUUUUAUCCACACUACUUUUGUUCUAUCUCCCCCUCUCCUUUGUAUAUACUCUUCCUCUUGGUAAUGAAUUAUUUAUUCAUCUAAAAAAAAGGGAGGUGAUAAAGAGGACGAUGUGUCACAUAAAAUUAAAGUGGGAUGAAUGAAGUGGAGAAGUGCGUCCGACGUUUCCAUGUCAAACUAAAGGGAAAAGUCAGUUGUACGCCCAACUAUUAUGUAUGGAGCGGAAUGUUAGGCAGUUAAGAAACGACAUAUUGAUAAGCUGUGUGUAUUGGAGAUUAGAAUGCUAAAAUGGAUGUGUAAGAAAACUAAGAAGGAUAAGGUCAAGAAUGAGCACUAGAGCAGACUUGGGAGUCGCCCUAAUUUAUGAAAAACCAUGGAAAAGUCAUUUGAGAUGGUAUGUCCAUGUUCAAUAGAAGCCAUCAAAUGCACAUGAGCACCAGACCAGACUAGGGAGUCGCCCCAAUCUAUGAAAGAUUAUGGAAAAGUCAUUUGAAAUGGUAUGGCCAUGUUCAACAAAAGCCAUCAAAUGCACCACUAAGAAAUAGUGAUUUGAUCCAAAUAGAGGGAUGUAAAAGAGCUAAAGGCAUACCAAAAAUGACCAUAGGAGAAGCGGUGAGGAAAGACAUGCAUAGAUUAGGCAUUACCCCAAGUAUGGUAUUGAAUAGUGUGGAUUUGUGGGCCAGGAUCCAAGUACCAGGACCCUUAUAGUUGUGUUCUACUUCGUUACUAGUAUUGUAAUCAGACUACUUUCAAUUUUACUUUCCCUUUCCCUUGUCCUUGCUUGGAUCCAUGUAGCCGACCCCUUUAAGUUGGAAUAAGGCUUUGUUGUUGUUGUUGUUGUUGUAAGAGAGCCAUGUACUUCUUAAUGUAACACUUCAUAUGCUUGGUGAUGCGAUCUCAGGCUAUCUUUCCCAUCUCGCGGUCUCUAUAAUUCCCAAGCUUUCUUUCUCAUAUGAAGCUUCGGUGAAUUCCAAAAUUGCAUACGAUACCGUUCAAUCAUUCAUUUCACUGUGCAGAACCCAGAUUGUACUUUUUAUUUUUAUCUUGUUUCAUUUUGAAGUCACAAGUUUUACUUUGCCCUUGAGAUAUUAAUGUCAGAAUCUAAAGAAGCAUCAACAGAAGAACCAGUCAUAGCCACGAUUUCUGAAAUCCAGCAACAUCCGUUAAUGGAAACUUCACAGAGCCCUAGUCAUAUCCUGCUACUCAAGCUUUGGAAAAGAGAAGACCUCUUCAGGUUGUGAAUCGCCAUAAUGGAAACCCAAUUGGACAACAUUAAACUGGAAUUAUUUUAGUUGUCCUCUUUUUUCUUCACCUUUUCCAAUCGUUCGCAAGAACAUACAUGCAGGAGAUUGUGGCUUCUAUCAUUUUUAUUUAUAUCUUAUUCACUUACCUAACCAUUGUCUUCAUAUUUUUUAUCUAGAUUAAGCUUUACAGGUACUGGAAGGUUUCAAGGCAGUUUCAGGGAGAGAAGCGAUAGCAGAGCGGUUACGAGGUGUAUCCAAGAAUUAAGGAUUGAAGGGAGGAGUUUUGCUCUGUUGAAAGAGUCUUAGAAUGCAAGAAGGAUGAAAAGCUCUUUGGCCUAAAAUCAAAUGGAAUCCUCUUUCUUGGUGUUCCCAAAAUCUUAUAACCAUUUGCCUUGUUUGUUUCACAGGUAUGGUCCUCCCAGCUUGGAACUAUAUCCUCAACGGUUGAGAAUGACCUUUGCUAGUAGAUGGAGAUUCAAACACCAGAGAAAAACAUACUGCUUCUACAACAGUUUGGUAUCAACUACGAGAGGCAACCAGUCAUGUUCCAUAGUGGAUCCUGUGUUUACAGAGAUAAGUAAAUACAGUUUGGAUGAUGCACUUAAACACAUUUUCUGAAGCAAAAAGUGACUAGAUUGGAUCAUUAUUUCCGUUGAAUGCACACAACAAAGAUUGGGAGAGGAAAUCAAAAGCACACGCCAAAGAAUGGGUUCCAUUACCCCCCCCCCCCUUUUUUUUUAAAUCCAUUUUUCCUUUUCAGUGUCACUAAGCAUGCACAAAUGUGUUUCCGUUUUACAUUUGAUUUUAGCAUUAUAAAUUUUUCCUGCACUCCUUUUGUGUGUGGUUCUUUUCAUCUAUCAAAUAUAUUUUCUUCUCAGAGCUAAACUGAAUUUUUUUAAUUCUAUUUGAUCUAUUUGUCUCUAAGGUGAGAGAGAGCAUACAUGACACUGAAGGAAGAGAUCUUGUUCAACAUUCUCUGAAGGGAUCGUUGGUUUUUGGACAUCAACUACUUCUGCCUCAUGAAAAAGUAUGUUGACUUGCAAUCUUUUGGAAUGAAUCUGAAGACUAUUUCUGCUUUUGCUCUUGAACAUGCAAAAUGUUAUAUUUUCAUUGAAUCUUACAGGGAAUUUGAUGUAAUUGAGGACUCUCCCAUUACCUGUUAGUCUGUUGUUAAAAGGUUUAUCGAUAUGCUAUAAUAUAUUUAUAAAUUCUAGCUGUUAUUGUCUUAA